rnacentral:lncRNA from 1 species
AGGUCGGCCCAUGAUCAGGUCAACUCCUCACCCUCUUCUUAUCUUUGUUAUCCACUUCCUUUAAAGCCGACCAUGAGCCCUCUUCCUCCAUGGUGGUUCUCUCUACCUCCACAUAUUCCUUGUCGGUGGCUCAUUCCCCCUCCUCUUUUUUCUCCUCAUCCCCUUCUCCUUCUCCUUCAAUCCCACCCAUGAGAUCUUCAACGUUGUUCUCCCCCUCUAUGCCAACCUCC